ACUCCUGGAGAAAUGGUGGGCGGUCCAAACGGUGAGCAGCACGCUCCUUACUUAGGUCAUGACCUCUGCCGACUAAAAAGGCUAAACUCAGCGUGGAUUAGGGCUAUACCAGGAACAACUGACUUUCCUCUAGAGGAUUUGAACUGGAGGAGGCUUGAAGUUGAACAAUGGAACUCUCAGUACCAACUUCCCUUUACAGUCUGAUCUCAGAAAUCUGACAGCCAGUUGUAUUCCCCCAGACCCUCUACCUUCACCUGUACUGAGGUUGUCCCACAUGGCAGUUUCAGGCGCAAUUCUUCUGGAGAUGACAAAGGGCAGGAAGGUGCUUCAGCUUGGAGAUAACAGGAGUACCUAUCUCACAGGAUCAUCUCGAAGAUUCAAUAAAUGCCUGG
rnacentral:lncRNA from 1 species